rnacentral:rRNA from 1 species
CCCUGGCUCGGAUGAACGCGGCGGCGUGCCUAAAUACAUGCAAGUCGAGCGAAUGGAUUAAGAGCUUGCUCUUAUGAAGUUAGCGGCGGACGGGUGAGUAACACGUGGGUAACCUACCCAUAAGACUGGGAUAACUCCGGGAAACCGGGGCUAAUACCGGAUAAUAUUUUGAACUGCAUAGUUCGAAAUUGAAAGGCGGCUUCGGCUGUCACUUAUGGAUGGACCCGCGUCGCAUUAGCUAGUUGGUGAGGUAACGGCUCACCAAGGCGACGAUGCGUAGCCGACCUGAGAGGGUGAUCGGCCACACUGGGACUGAGACACGGCCCAGACUCCUACGGGAGGCAGCAGUAGGGAAUCUUCCGCAAUGGACGAAAGUCUGACGGAGCAACGCCGCGUGAGUGAUGAAGGCUUUCGGGUCGUAAAACUCUGUUGUUAGGGAAGAACAAGUGCUAGUUGAAUAAGCUGGCACCUUGACGGUACCUAACCAGAAAGCCACGGCUAACUA